UACGUAGGGUGCAAGCGUUUGUCCGGAAUUAUUGGGCGUAAAGAGCUCGUAGGCGGUCUGUCGCGUCGGCUGUGAAAACCCGGAGCUCAACUCCGGGCCUGCAGUCGAUACGGGCAAACUGGAGUACUGCAGGGGAGACUGGAAUUCCUGGUGUAGCGGUGAAAUGCGCAGAUAUCAGGAGGAACACCGGUGGCGAAGGCGGGUCUCUGGGCAGUAACUGACGCUGGAGGAGCGAAAGCGUGGGGAGCGAACAGG
rnacentral:rRNA from 1 species